UCGCACCUACCGAUUGAAUGGUUCGGUGAAAAUUUUGGACUGUGACUCGGACGCCUUCGGGCGACUUUGUUGUGGGAAGUUAUUUAAACCUCAUCAUUUAGAGGAAGGUG
rnacentral:rRNA from 1 species